rnacentral:rRNA from 1 species
AUGGCGCUACUGAAGCGCAGCUUCACCGCAGCGCUGCUCGACGAGGGCGACGACCCGUCGUACCCGUUCAAGAUGCCGGGCAGCCUCGCGCGCACCACCGCGCCGGUGGCCAAGAUGAUGCGGCUGUGGAACUACAAGCAAGGCUCGGGCCUCGGCGCGCACGGCCAGGGCAUCAUCGCCCCUAUAAAGGCCAUCAGGCAUUGCUCCACCGCCGGCAUCGGCCACUCCGAAACGACGUACAAGAACGGCCUGCAUGGCGCGCCGGCGCCGGCGCCGCCAGCCCAGGACGAGUGGCACGAGUCGGCGGCCGUCUCACGAGCCCUGCGCCUCGAACGGGAGUGCUGCGAGAGGACCCUCGCGCUGCUGCGCGACGUGAAGCUUCAAGGCGACGACAGCGUGGAGACGGAGGAGGCGCUGGCGGCGAUCGUCAAGUCCGAGGAGGAGCUCCGGGGGAAGAAGCGUGCGCUGGGAGCGUGGAGGGCCGCGUUGCCUGCUCCGACCGUGCAGCACAUCGUGGAGCAGGUCCUCACGCCGAGGAUGGCCAUGAAGGCGCGAGAGUGGGAGCCGUUGUGGAGCCCGGGCUGCGACCACUGGCUACGUCCGUGGAUCCCCUUGAUCGGACACUUGCCGGAGAGCCUCUACGGCACCGUGGAGAGCAAGAUCAGCGGCGGCUGCCUCGACGUCAUCUCCCCAUGGAAAGACUACUUCAGCCCCACGCAUUGGGAGAUCUUCUCCCGGCGUCACAUCUUGCCUAAGCUCACACGAUGGCUGCAACAGCUCAAGAUCACGCCACCAAAGCAGCGCGACACUAAGUUUCUCGAGGUGAUGUCGUGGACGCCUCUGGUGCGCACCCAAGACGUGGUGUCGAUCCUAGAACAGGAGUUUUUCGGCAAAUGGGAGGGCGCGCUGCGCCACUGGCUGCAGUCCGCGAGGCCACCGUCGGGGGAGGCCGCGGCGUGGUACGCCGGCUGGAAGAACCUCUUCACCCUGGAGCUGCUCGACGACGAACGCGUGCUCGCACGGCUGGAGGCCGGCGUCGCCAUGGUGGAUCGAGAAGCGGAGGACCUCGGCCGUCUUGUUUGUCAAAGUUGA